CUNCAUUAAAACANGUUAUAGUCCACUUGAUAUUGAAACUUACAUGGAUAACCGUAKUAAUUCUASAGCUAAYACAUGCGUUACGCCGAUGUCAAAGUCGSCAGUAUUUAGAUAACUAAAUCGCUAUUCCUUUCAGGUCUAUUUGAUGAUUCAGUCUAACUUAUCGGAUCGCUGCUUAUGCUGSGAUAGAUCAUUCGAGUYUCUGCCCCAUCAG
rnacentral:rRNA from 1 species